UGGGGUAUAGCCAAGUGGUAAGGCAUCAGAUUCUGAUUCUGAGUAUCGUAGGUUCAAAUCCUAUUACCCUAGCCA
rnacentral:tRNA from 1 species